AGAUUGAACGCUGGCGGCGUGCCUAACACAUGCAAGUCGGGCGGUAACAGGCGUAGCAAUACGUGCUGACGAGCGGCGAACGGGUGAGCAAUGCUUCGGAAUCUGCCCAAUGAUGGGGAAUAACCAGUCGAAAGAUUGGCUAAUACCGCAUACGCCCUUCGGGGGAAAGCGGGGGUCGCAAGACCUCGCGUCGAUGGAUGAGCCGAAGUCGGAUUAGCUAGUUGGUAGGGUAACGCCUACCAAGGCGACGAUCCGUAGCUGGUCUGAGAGGACGACCAGCCACACUGGGACUGAGACACGGCCCAGACUCCCUACGGGG
rnacentral:rRNA from 1 species